GGUUGCUUCGUACCUCGAGGCCAGAACAAGGAAAAAGGACAUACAGUAUAGUCCAGUGGUUCUCAACCUUGGCUGCACAUGAGAAUCACCUGGGAAUCUUUUUAAAAUCCUGAUUUCUGGGCCUCAUCCUCCGGAAAUUCUGUUUCUUUGUUACUAAUGUUGUGGCCCCACCCCAUAACAAAGAAACAGAAUUUCCGGAGGAUGAGGCCCAGAAAUCAGGAUUCUAAAAAGAUUCCCAGGUGAUUCUCAUGUGCAGCCAAGGUUGAGAACCACUGGAAUAGUCUUUGUUUGAAUUUGCUGUGAAGGGUGUUUCUACUGGAUACAACUUAAUGGUAAAUGUGAGCUAGGGAUGAACCUUCUAUAGAAUAUUUGCAACUGAAUGGAUAGAGGGUAAUGAGAGGCGGGGAGCUAGAGAAAAUGUUAAUGACUGUAGCGCUAUUCUGUUCUUCCAGGUCAAAGCCGUUGUUUCUUCUAGUAAGUGUGGGAUCCAACUAGGUUUUAUGUGUGUCUCUAAUUCUUGGGCCCUAAGUGAGUGAUUUGUGAGAUAUAAUGUCGGGGCUACAGCACUGCAUCAUCGCAGGUGAGAACGGAGCCUGGGAGGGAAGAGCUGUCCGGGGGUCUCACCGCUGUCUGUGCGGCUGAGGCGCGAAGCUACGCGUCCCUCUCCAGGCCAGCGGCUCCCUCGCAAACGGGCUGCGCAGUGGACAGCUGUGCCUGACUCCCACCCCGGACACUCUGAGUUGAUUGGUUGGCAGUGAGUCCUUGAUAAUUGAGGGUUUUUUUAAAGCUGCCCAGGUGACUUCAAUAUUCAGCAGAAUAUGAGAACCAUCAUCCUGACCCAGGCCCUUUUCAAUAUACAGUGGGGCCUUGACUUACAAGUGUCCCGACUAACGAGUUUUUUGAGAUACCAGCUGUCUCUCCGCCGAUUUUUUGCAUUGAGUUGAUAGAGUAAUUUGAGUUAACGAGCUCCUUAACGAGCUCGGUCUCGGAACGAAUUAAACUCGUAAGUCAAGGCCCCACUGUAUCAUGUAUUAAGAAAAAAUUUGCAUCAAAACCUAUAAAAACUCAUCUAGUCAUCCUUUCUGCCUUCAAUUCCAACUUGAUCUUUUAAAAGUCCCCUUUGCUAGAGCCGGUGAAAGGGACUGACCCAGGCUGCUCUUGGGGUGCCAAGGAGAAGAGGAAGGAAGUGGCCAAAGGCAAAGCAGAAGAGGAGGCGCAGGGUCCUCCAGGAUGGACCCUGGGCCUCAGCUCAGAGGCUGUCUCAGAAACACGGAGCUGGAAAGAGCAGGAAACCGUGGGGCGGGUCCUCCGCUCCAUCAGACCCCUCCUCCACCCUCAGAGUGAACUUCCCAAGCUGCAGAACUGACAACGUCUUGCCCUGCUUAGGACCCUUAAAGGUGCCUGACUCUUUAAAAAAAAAUAUAUUUCUAUUGAUUUCAGAGAGGAAGGGAGAGGGAGAGAGAGAGAAAAACAGCAAUGGUGAAUCACUGAUGGACUGCCUCCUGCAUGCCCCUUACUGGGGAUUGAGCCAACAACCUGGGCAUGCACCCUUGGCCAUAAUCGAACCCAGAACCCUUCAGACCGCAGGCCGACGCUCUAUCCACUGAGCCAAACCGGCUAGGGCAAGAUGCCUGACUCUUGAUCAUGCUGGGAAGACACAAGGAACAGCAACUUACCUAAAGGGACCCGACUUCUAGGGGCACUGCCAGCCCGUUUCACUCUAAGUCUGGCAUGAAGCACCUGUUUACAUGCAGGCAUCUGGAAAGGCUAAUGCCGGUCUCCUGGCUGCACUGUCUCCUGUGCCUGCCCCUAGCAGGUGCUCAUCUUUACUGAAUGCAGGAGAGGAAGCAAAAGAGCGAAGGGAGGUGAACGAAUAGGACAUGGGAACAGGAAAGGACUUGAAAGCCUCUCUGCUCAAGUAGUCUCAGCCCAGUAGCAUGGGCAUCGCCUGGGGGGCGGGCGGGGAGGGUGUGCUAGAAAUUAGGACUCUUCGAUUCCACCAAAGCAGAAUCUGCAUUUUAUUUUACAAAAUUUCCCAGGGAUUCAUAUCCACGUUAAAGAAGCACUAGUUUUGAUUGUUUCUUGUGUUUCUCACAUGGGGGACUUGGUAAAGAUGCAAAGGCCUUGGCCAUGUCCUUCUCCAAUGAGCUUGAUUGAGACUGUGUGCUCAUGAUUAGCAGCCUGGGUUACUUUGAUGCCACCCACAUGGGAGAACCUCUGUUUUUACAGGGGGAAACUGAGGCAGAGAGAGAGGGAGAGAGGGAGAGAGAGAGAGAGAGAGAGAGAGGAUAUGGAGGCUAUAUGUGAGAUACUAUCAACUGGUUAAUUUCAAAUCUGAAUACUUUGCUCUCUCUUGUCACCAUGUUUGGACUCCACCUUUCAGUCAUUCGAUUGGGUUCCUCCGCUCAGAGCAGCAGAAGAUCCGGGGAUUCUGCAGCCAUCACUCACCCUGGGCUGCAGUCCUGGCUUGUGCCCACUGGUGCCUCUGUUCUGUGACUAGAUAGAUUCUAUCUGAUAGAACAAGACCUCCAACAUUCCUGCGAUCACCAGCACCUCUCAGGAGCCCCCUUUCUGGAUGAAGGGAGUGGAAAUUCUGUCAAUAAGACGGGCUUUUUCAUUUGUUUGUUUUGUUUUGUUUUGUUUUUGUUUGUUUGUUUUGAGAAAAAAAUUCAGGUUUCCACAAUGAUCUGAAGCUGAAGCUUCUGCAAAAGAAUGAAACAGAGAGAGCAGGUGCAACCUCUAGUUCUGAUGAGAGCUAACUAUAUUGAGAGUUUAUUAUAGGAAUUGAUUUAUUUCUUUUGGUUAUAAAACUAAUGUCUUUCAUUAUAAGCAAUUUAGAAAAAAAGAGGAAAAGUCCAAAGAAAAAUCCCACAGCUCAAAAAUCACUUGUUAAAAUUUGGUACAAAAACUGUAAUCUCUUUUUGAGCAUCUCCUUCUAUGUGGAUCUUUUCCACAUCAUAGGAAUACCUGCCUUCUUUAACGUAGUCAUAAUAGUGAUCAUUUAUGUCAUUUCAUAUUCUCUUACCUCCUAAGUUGACCAGUUCUGUUUUUGGAGUCACCAUGCUCUGAAACAGCCCUGUUUUGGGGGAAUUUUGGUUGAUUCAUUUCCCUGCUGCAGUGAGCAUCCAAGAGGCGAAGUCUAAGUCCUUCCCUGUGUCAUUCCUAGGACCAGGUCUUGGAAGUGAAAAGGUGAAGUCAAACGUUGUAACUGUUUUUUUUAAUGUUUUUAUUGACUUGAGAGAGAGAUAGAAACAUCAUCGAAGAGAAACAUCUAUUGGUUCUACUGGGGAUCAACCCAGACAUGUGCCCUGACCAGGAAUCAAACCAAGACCCUUUAGUGUGUGGGCUGAUGCUGUAACCUCUGAGCAAAUGGCCAGGGCUAUGUGUGGUAUUUUCUUUGUCAUUUUUCUACCAGGAUCUUUUUCUUUUUCUUGUUGAUAUACAGAAAUUCUUCAUAUGAUGAUGUUGUUCUCCAAAUUUGAUUCGGUAUCAGCUAGAUGAACUGAUGUGUUCAUGCAGCCAUCAGCAAUGCAGUCAUCUGGAAAGUGAAGUUCUUAGCCUCGUGGUCUAAGAAUGCCAACUCACUCAGUAGUUCCAUCAAGUCUCCUACUGUGUUUUCUUCAUCUUUUCCAAUGUUUUAUCUUCCUAAAACCCUUCUCCACACACUCAUUUCUGUCCUUAGAAUUAUACACUCUCUGCAAAGCAGCUAAAAAUCAAUCCGAAAGGGUCCCCUGAACUUCCUUGGUACUAAAAUAACACACGAUGCUCAGGCUGGGUGGCUCAGUUGGUUGGAGUGUCAUCCCAUACAUCCAAAGGUCACAGGCUCAUUCCUGGUCAGGGCACAUCCCUCGCUUGCGGGUUCUAUCUCUGGUGUCGGGGGUGUAGAGGAGGAAACCAAUAGAUGUUUUUCUCUCAGAUUGAUGUUUCUCUCUCUCUCUCUCUCUCUCUCUCUCUCUCUCUCUCUCUCUCUCUCUCUCCCUCCCUCCCUCUCAUCUCUAUCUCUGUCUCUUUCCCUUCUGCUCUCUCAAAUCAAUAAAAACAUAUGCUCAGGUGAGGUGUUUUUUUUU